CAUCCGCCCAGACAGCCACGCAGCCGGCGACUCAGCCCCGCUGGGUUCAAACCGCGUCCCUGGACCCAGGCAAGCUACUCAGCCCUGUGUGCCUCUGUGUCCUCACCUGUGAGGCGGGGAGCAGAAUUGGAACCCGCUAGGAGGUGUGUGUGUGUGUGUAUCUGUGUGUGUGAAGAUGUUUUUACAAUUUUUAUUUACUUUCGUUUUAUUUGAAAGGCAGAGAGAGAGAGACAGAGAUUUUCCAGUGAUUCAUUCCCCAAGUGCCCACAACAGCUGGUGCUGGGCCAAGCAGAAGGAAGCCAGGCUCAGCAUCUCCCACGUGGGUGGCAUCUGCUGCUUCCCAGGAUAGACAGUGAGAGGGAGAAACAGAGAGAAAGGCCUUUCUUCUGUUGGUUCACUCUGCAAAUGGCCGCAAGGACCGGAGCUGCACUGAUCUGAAGCCAGGAGCCAGGAGCUUCUUCUGGGUCUCCCACGUGGGUGCAGGGGCCCAAGGACUUGAACCAUCUUCUGCUGCUUUCCCAGGCCACAGCAGAGAGCUGGAUUGGAAGAGGAGCAGCCUGCGGUGGAUUAACCCACAUGGGAUGCCGGCGCAGCAGGUGGUGGAUUAACCCACUGCAACUAGGCGCCAAUACUGCAAGGUUUUCAUGCAUGCUUCUCUGUAAAGAACAAAUAAAUCCUUAUCUGGCCAGAAGAGCAAAGCCUAGAGGUUACGACCAAAGACCAGGGGGCUGUGUGCACAGGGCCUCUGCACUGCCUUGGAAGUAACUCUGAGGCUGGUGGGUAGAGACCUGGCUUGGAGGUGGGGGGGUUGGUGCAGAGGGGGAGGGCUGUUAAUUGGGAGCAUCCUGGUUUCUUGGGAAGUUGAGACAGGAAAUGCAGGGGUACAUCUGAAACCGAGAGCUCUCUAAGAGACCAGUAAUACCAUUGCAAAAUACUUGGCCAUUUUUUGUAAGUUUGGGAAUUUUGCAAUCAUUUUCAACCUUCGGUACAUAUAAUAAAUGUCUUCUUAGGAG